UAUAGAUUAAUAGGAGGAAUUAUAAAAAAGAGGUUACAUGGAGUAAUUUGAGGAGUUAUAGGGAUUGGUGAUAUGGAGUAAUAGGAAAUGUUAAAUGGAGAGGUUAUAUGGAGUAAUAGGAGGAGUUAUAGGGAGAGGUUAUAUGGAGUAAUAGGUGGAGUUACAGGGAGAGUAUAUGAAGUAAUUGGAGGAGUUAUAGAGAGAGGUUAUAUGGAGUAAUAAGAGGAGUUAUAGUGAGAGUUUAUAUGAAGUAAUAGGUGGAGAUAUAUGGAAUAAUAGGAGGAGUUAUAGAGAGAGGUUAUAUGGAGUAAUAGGAAGAGUUAUAGAGAGAGGCUAUAUGGAGUAAUAGGAGGAGUUAUAGGGAGAGGUUAUAUGGAGUAAUAGGAGGGGUUAUAGAGAGAGGUUAUAUGGAGUAAUAGGAGGAGUUAUAGGGAGAGGUUAUAUGGAGUAAUAGGAGGAGUUAUAGGGAGAGGUUAUAUGGAGUAAUAGGAGGAGUUAUAGAGAGAGGUUAUAUGGAGUAAUAGGAGGAGUUAUAGAGAGGUUAUAUGGAGUAAUAGGGGGAGUUAUAGAGAGAGGUUAUAUUGAGUAAUAUGAGGAGUUAUAGAGAGAGGCUAUAUGGAGUAAUAGGAGGAGUUAUAGGGAGAGGUUAUAUGGAGUAAUAGGAGGAGUUAUAGGGAGAGGUUAUAUGGAGUAAUAGAAGGAGUUAUAGGGAGAGGUUAUAUGGAGUAAUAGGAGGAGUUAUAGAGAGAGGUUAUAUGGAGUAAUGGGAGGAGUUAUAGAGAGAGGUUAUAUGGAGUAAUAGGAGGAGUUACAGAGAGAGGUUAUAUGGAGUAAUAGGAGGAGUUAUAGGGAGAGGUUAUAUGGAGUAAUAGGAGGAGUUAUAGAGAGAGGUUAUAUGGAGUAAUAGGAGGAGUUAUAGGGAGAGGUUAUAUGGAGUAAUAGGGGGAGUUAUAGAGAGAGGUUAUAUGGAGUAAUAGGAGGAGUUAUAGAAAGAGGUUAUACAGAGUAAUAGGAGGAGUUAUAGGGAGAGGUUAUAUGGAGUAAUAGGAGGAGUUAUAUGGAGAAGUUAUAUGGAGUAAUAGGAGGAGUUAUAGGGAGAAGUUAUAUGGAGUAUUUAGGAGGAGUUACGUUAUAAAUAGAGGUUAUGUGGAGUCAUAGGUUAUGGGGAUGUUAUGGAGCAAUUUCAGUGUGAUAAUUAAGUUCUUAAAUUCUUAACUGCCAGACUACAAUGUGGUCUCUCCAUUGUCCUUGGAUAACAUAUAGGUUGAUUGAAC